AGUGAACGCUGGCGGUAGGCCUAACACAUGCAAGUCGAACGGCAGCACAGUAAGAGCUUGCUCUUACGGGUGACGAGUGGCGGACGGGUGAGGAAUACAUCGGAAUCUACUUUUUCGUGGGGGAUAACGUAGGGAAACUUACGCUAAUACCGCAUACGACCUACGGGUGAAAGCAGGGGAUCUUCAGACCUUGCGCGAUUGAAUGAGCCGAUGUCGGAUUAGCUAGUUGGCGGGGUAAAGGCCCACCAAGGCGACGAUCCGUAGCUGGUCUGAGAGGAUGAUCAGCCACACUGGAACUGAGACACGGUCCAGACUCCUACGGGAGGCAGCAGUGGGGAAUAUUGGACAAUGGGCGCAAGCCUGAUCCAGCCAUACCGCGUGGGUGAAGAAGGCCUUCGGGUUGUAAAGCCCUUUUGUUGGGAAAGAAAAGCAGCAGGUUAAUACCCCGCUGUUCUGACGGUACCCAAAGAAUAAGCACCGGCUAACUUCGUG
rnacentral:rRNA from 1 species